UCUGCCCAUUUCGCAUCUGCCUCUCCCGUAUCUCGCGCUCGAAAUACGCAAGGACCACGCAGGACCACGCAGCACCUCCGUCCUCCGCGAGUAGCACCUCCGUCCUGCGCGACCACCUGCUCCGGCCUCCGCCACCACCUCUGCCGUCCUAUAAAAAAAAAAAAAAGACGGAAAAAGAGGGAAAACAUCUCCCCUGCGAUUUCCCGUCUCCCUCCCGCACCUCCGGCACGAAAUACCCAACGACCACGCAGCACCUCCGUCCUCCGCGAGCACCUGCUCCGGCCUCCGGGACCACCUCUGCCGUCCUAAAAAAAAAAAAAAAAAGAGACAAAAACUCGAUCCUGGCUCUCACUUGAUCAAACCGGCUUCCCGAAAAGAUGGAGAAAGGAAAGGAGCAUGCAUCUCCUAUAACACCGACGACCACAGAUGCUUCCUCAAAUCCACCCACCCAGAUGAUACCAAGACCAUUCAAUCUACUCGGGUCAACACCUCCUCUUGCUAUUCCAUCAACCAAUCUACCAACCCAGGUGAUACCAAUUUCGCCCUUUGUGAUGGAUUUCUCAAACUAUAUGCAUGGGCACCAUCCACCAUUGGGGUAUUCGUGGUUACCACCACCCU